GACAUAGCUCAGCGGUAGAGUAGGUGGCUGUUAACCACUUGGUCGCUGGUUCGAAUCCAGCUGUC
rnacentral:tRNA from 1 species